rnacentral:rRNA from 1 species
GAUGAACGCUGGCGGCGUGCUUAACACAUGCAAGUCGAACGGAAAGGCUCCUGCUUGCAGGGGUACUCGAGUGGCGAACGGGUGAGUAACACGUGGGUGAUCUGCCCUGCACUUCGGGAUAAGCCUGGGAAACUGGGUCUAAUACCGGAUAGGACGAUGGUUUGGAUGCCAUUGUGGAAAGUUUUUUCGGUGUGGGAUGAGCUCGCGGCCUAUCAGCUUGUUGGUGGGGUAAUGGCCUACCAAGGCGUCGACGGGUAGCCGGCCUGAGAGGGUGUACGGCCACAUUGGGACUGAGAUACGGCCCAGACUCCUACGGGAGGCAGCAGGGGGGAAUAUUGCACAAUGGGCGCAAGCCUGAUGCAGCGACGCCGCGUGGGGGAUGACGGCCUUCGGGUUGUAAACUCCUUUCGCUAGGGACGAAGCGCAAGUGACGGUACCUGGAGAAGAAGCACCGGCUAACUACGUG